rnacentral:rRNA from 1 species
GAUGAACGCUAGCGGCAGGCCUAAUACAUGCAAGUCGAGGGGCAGCCUUGUAGCAAUACAAGGGCGACCGGCGCACGGGUGCGUAACGCGUAUGUAAUCUGCCCUCAGCAGGGGGAUAGCCCGUGGAAACAUGGAUUAAUACCCCAUAAAGCAGGGGUGUCACAUGGCACUAUUUGCUAAAGCUUCGGUGGCUGAGGAUGAGCAUGCGUCCGAUUAGCUAGUUGGUAGGGUAAAAGCCUACCAAGGCUACGAUCGGUAGGGGAUCUGAGAGGAUGAUCCCCCACACUGGUACUGAGAUACGGACCAGACUCCUACGGGUGGCUG